rfam:Gemmatimonadetes bacterium GWC2_71_9 gwc2_scaffold_9002, whole genome shotgun sequence.
GCGCCGGUAGCUCAAUUGGCAGAGCAACUGACUCUUAAUCAGUAGGUUCUAGGUUCGAUUCCUAGCCGGCGCA